rnacentral:rRNA from 1 species
GUAGGCGGUUUGUCGCGUCUGCUGUGAAAGGCCGGGGCUUAACUCCGUGUAUUGCAGUGGGUACGGGCAGACUAGAGUGCAGUAGGGGAGACUGGAAUUCCUGGUGUAGCGGUGGAAUGCGCAGAUAUCAGGAGGAACACCGAUGGCGAAGGCAGGUCUCUGGGCUGUAACUGACGCUGAGAAGCGAAAGCAUGGGGAGCGAACAGGAUUAGAUACCCUGGUAGUCCAUGCCGUAAACGUUGGGCACUAGGUGUGGGGGACAUUCCACGUUUUCCGCGCCGUAGCUAACGCAUUAAGUGCCCCGCCUGGGGAGUACGGCCGCAAGGCUAAAACUCAAAGAAAUUGACGGGGGCCCGCACAAGCGGUGGAGCAUGUGGUUUAAUUCGAAGCAACGCGAAGAACCUUACCAGGUCUUGACAUCCCUCUGACCGCUCUAGAGAUAGAGUUUUCCUUCGGGACAGAGGUGACAGGUGGUGCAUGGUUGUCGUCAGCUCGUGUCGUGAG